rnacentral:lncRNA from 1 species
AGUCCUGGUUCUGAGUGUCAGCGGCAGUGCAGAUGAGCUCACCCGGGGACCAGAGCCAUUUAGAGGAUUUGCAGAUGGAACUUCCCCUCGGGGUCCAACUGUGAGUCACUGUGGUUCCUGUCCCUGCAGCGGGCUCCAUCUCCAGGCCUCCCACUUCACCCUGGGACAUUAUGGUCGCUGGUCAGACCUCAUGACUCACUUGGACUCUUGAGCCACCUCUGGGGGUGGAGUCUCUCUCCUGGCAUCUGGACCCUUGGUGCUAUCGACGAAGCUUGGCUGGCGCUCUUAGCUGCUAUGUGCAAGACGUGUGUCCCAGGGAAAGCCCCUCUCUCUCUGCAGAGGUCAAGUGAAAGCCACGGCCGCAGCCAACAGAGUUCAAAAUGCAGGCUUGGAAAGUCCAGGGGGCUCUGUGGAGGUGCCACCUCCUGAGUCCUGGUUCCUGCGGCUCCGUCGAAUCUGCAGUGAAGGCCUUUGGGAAGCGUGGGUUAUGUGGGUCCAGGGGUCCCAUCCUCCCGUGGAGGCCCUUGACCUGAGGAUCACUAACUCACACCCCACCGACUUCCGGCCCCCAACAAGGGCAGUGUUCCUCUUGCUCCAUUCUGCUCUGAAGUCCCCCAAACCGCUUCCUGGGGCUGCUUAGUGAAAUACAAGGCUCAUCUCUGAGGACCUCUACAGGGCUGGAUGGGAAGGACUGAUCCACAUUCCCACCAGGAAGUUUAGCAGAACCCCCGCGUGCCACCUGGACCCCUUGGAAGGACCUGGCUCAGGCUGGACCACCUCUUGAGAGGCAGGAGCUCUGGAUUUGAUCAAGAAUUCUUUGCUGAGCAUGGUGCCUCAUGCCUAUAAUCCCAACACUUUGGGAGGCCAGUGUGGGAGGAUCUCUUGAGCCCAGGAGUUCAAGACUAGCCUGGGCAACACAGAGAGACCCCAUCUCUAAAAUAAUAAUAAUAAUAAAAUAAAAAAUUAGCAGGGCAUGGUGGCAUGUGCCUGUAGUCCCAGCUACCCAGGAGGCUGAGGCAAGAGGAUGGCUGGAGCCUGGGAUGUUGAGGCUGCAAUGAACUGUGAUUACCCCACUGCACUCCAGCCUGGGCAAAAGAGCGAGAGACCCUGUCUCAAAUAAUAAUAAUAAUAAUAAUCUUAUUUUGGAGAAUAAAGAGACCUCUGGAUUUGAGGUGCCAUUUGGGUAGAAAGAAAAGACGUUUACACCGAGAAAUAGUCUGUGUUGCCCUGAAGGAGCAGAGGGAUGCAUCGCUGGAGGUGACCUACAGUUGAAGAAGACUCAUUAUGACAGACCUUGUCCUUCUUCCUUGUGGAAAGUGUUUCCUCUGCUGCUACUGCUCAUGAGACUCUUCCCCCUCCCUGUCCCAGGGAACCAAAGGGCUUUCUACCACACCCUUUCUUGCCCCCCGCCUCCCAUGUCUGCUGUGCCUUUGUACUCAGCAAUUCUUGUUUGCUCCAUUAUCUUCCAGCCGGAUACAGAGUGAAUAGUUAACCACACUUAGGUCAAAUAGGAUCUAAAUUUUUGUUCCUGCUCCGUGUAAAGAGGCCAGUGUUUGUGUGUUGCAAGCAGCCUUGGAAUAGUAACUCUUCUCAUUUGUUUGGGAUCUGGCCACCAAGUUCCAGAAUGAUACACGGAUCAGUGCAGAAGUUCAUCAGGCUCUCGGACCUUAGGGCUGUUGGAGAAGGCUUCAGCAGCAGAACUGAUGGUGAAGGCUCGUGUUCUCCAUCCUCAACUUUCUUUGCUUCGAUCAUACACAAGAAUACAUUUGGAAGGGCAAAAAAUGAACACUGUCGUUCAUUGCAGCCGUGUUUUGUGACACAGAUGCACAGUCUGCUGUGAAGACCUUCUCUCAAGUGGCAUUUGGGAGUCCAUGCCAGAUCAUGGUGCUUCAUGAGAGACUGACAGCUAUCAGGGGUUGUGGCACUUAGUGAGGACUCUCCUCCCCCAGUGUGUGCUGAUGACACAUACACACCUGACAAUAGCUUGAGUCUUCUCUGUUCCUUUUACUCUGUAGCCAACAUACACAUGAUUUAAAACCCUUUCUAAAUAUCUAUCAUGGUUCAUCCUUGUCCAAAUGCAGAGUCAGAGCUAUUUGUACUUCAUUAUUAUUUCCAAGGCGAAUAGUUGGCUUUCUUUUUGCAAAAAUAAUUAAAGUUUUUGUAUGUUGCAGUUGCUGUGCUUGUAUGACCAUUUAGUGAAUUUGGUGUCUUCUAAAUAGAACAGUGGAGUCCUUGUGGACAUCUCAGAUUCAUCACAAAAUGAUUGAGGAGAACCUCUUGAAGAUGUUUAGAGCUAUUGAAAUUUACAGAUUGUUGAUGGGUUUUCACCUUUUCCUUCCUUUCUUGACACACAGUUACAGGCAUUGUAUUCCUUGGAUUCCUACAGGUGUCAAGGAACAGAGAUCCACUUACGUUACCUUCAUAAAUCCUGGUUUAUUCAAAAGUCACAGUAAGGUAGACAGGAAAUAGUCCCAGCCACUGCCUAGCUAAGCCUUUUCAAAAAGCCCAAGGUCAUUCAGCAGAUGCAGAAGCACUAGUUGGUUUUCAAAGAUAACAAGAGCAAUACCAUCAUGGUCGUUUUGAUCCUCUGUUCAGCAGCAGGGUUCGCUGCCCCUGACUUUAGAAUUCUGCCAUCGUGAUGAGCUGAAGGUCACCAACGGUCCCAGUUUGCCCAGGACUAAAGGGUUUCUUGGGAUGAAGGACAUUCAGUGCUAAACCUGGGACAGUCCUGGGCAAACUGGGAAAACUGGUCACCCUCCUGGGUGACUCAACGACCAUGCCUCUACUUUGUUACUUACUAUUAACUGACUGAUGCUGUUGACUGGUUUAGCCAAUCUGCAUUCAGAGCUUUUGCGUCUGGUUACUUCGUUGGCCUUCAGGCAGCCACAGAUGGAUGCUAUUGGAUCAGGCACCAAUGCUGACCAAAUCAAUUGUUUCCAGGAUGGUAGGGUUGUAUGAAGAACCAACUGAGACCAUGUCCUUCUGAGUGUUGUGGAUGGUGGGCAUGGCAGGCCUUCAAGGUAUCAGGGAUUCCUCUCCAAUACAGCCUUACUUACAAAGGAGAAACUAACUUUCUCAUGAAAAACAAAACAGUUCAUUAAGAAACAAAACUAACACAGCCACUGGGAACUGAGGAAGAGAGACUGUAACAUGUGUGCAAGCACACACACACACACACACAUGCAUACACAUGCUGUCUGUAGAAUCAUGAGCCAGGAUUCCAAAUCUGCAUCUUUGCUAGACAGAGAUCAAGAACUAAAACCUUUGGGAUGGUGUUGUCUGGGAAGCAAAGGAGUUGGCUAGAGGACUUCCUGAAAUUCCUUUAAACUCUAGAAUCCUUUAAAAUAUCAAGGGUGUGUAAACUGGGGCUAAGUAUGUACAUUCUCUCUAAAGGCUCCUAGAUAACCUUUGAGUUCAAUUCAGUGUGGAGUGGGGCCUCCCAGCUUAUACUUACCUUUCUAGACACUGACUUUUAUCUGGGAUGAGGGAGCAGAAUUUGGAGGUGGUAGUCAGGGCGGGGGUAGGGAGGGGAGUGGGUAAGGGAUAGUUGCACCAGCCCAACUUUUUUGGUCUUAAGAACAACCUGAACGCAAAUUACAGGGUCUUUUGUGGACUAGAAAAAGCCAGGUUUUCAGGAUCACGUGGCGUCCUGAAGUUGUUGCUGCUUGUCAGGGCAUCUGACCUCCAUCUUCUCUGCUGAAAGACAGGCAUGAGUGUUUGCAGUGCCGGAACAGGGGCCUUCAGAUAAUUUCAUUCAUCUGGCAUGGCAAGACCACAGGGAGGGAAUUACAUGCUAGGGUAGAGAUGAACUUAUGGACGUAUCAUGCACCUUGGUGUUUGCCCCUGUAGUGAUUCUCACUACCUUCGCUACCAUUGGAGGGAUGCUCACCCACCUCCUUGGGUGCCAUUUUUCUUUUUUAAAAGAUGAAGGCAUUUCAGAUGAUCCCUUCAUUUAUGUUCUACUUUCAUUCUUUGGUUUCAAAAGAAGUCCUGAUCUUAUGUCAAAGGCAACAAUCUCUUCUCUCAAUCUCUCUCUCUCUCUCACUCUCUCUCUCUGGCUCACUCUGUCACCCAGGUUGGAGUACAGUGGCAUGAUCUCAGCUCACUGCAGCCUCGACUUCCUGGGCUCAAGAAAUCCUCCUGUCUCUGCCUUCCGAGUAGCUGUGAUCACAGUUGUAUGCCAUCAUGCCCAGGUAAUUUUUUUUAUUUUUAUUUUUUUGUAGAGACAGGGUCUCACCAUCUUGCCCAGGCUCGUCUUGAACUCCUGGGCUCAAGCAAUCCUCCUGCCUUGGCCUCCUGAAGUAUGUGAGCCAAUGCGCCUGGCCCUCUCUUUUCUUAUCUCCUUAUCCAUAUGCAAUCACAGAACCUGAGAGGCUGAAGUGGUCUAAAGCAUCACUCUUCUCUAGAUUUAUCUCUGACUAAUGCAGGAAUCCCCUUUCAAAUCAGGCAAGGGAUCGUUCAGCCCAGGGGAGAGAGGACUAUGAGAGAGGCUGAGUGAUACCCAGCCUGAUGGGGAAGCAGUUGAAUUUUAAAGAGUGUUUCAUACACUAUCAGGUGGCCAUGAAUGUCAAUUUCUUAAUGAGAUUUUGUGCUAAAUGCUUUUUGCCCUCUUCCCCAUGUUUGUUCUGGUUUAAAAAAAAAAAAAAAAGCACAGUGCAGGGAGGCAGAGAGACCUAAGUUUUUGUCUCAGAAAGCUCCUCAUCAUCUUAAUUCCUUCCGUAUAAAAUGAGGGGUUUGGGCCACACGAUCCCUGGAGCCUCUUCUAUUAAUAGUUCUGACAUCCACGAUGCUGGCAUAUUUGAUGGAUAAGCUAUCAGCCUUCUAGGAGUCCAUGUCUUAAAGUUUUGCUGGGGUUUUAGGUCUCAUGUUAGAAUAGUACGUUAGACAUUGUCCAAGGUGCAAUGUAAAGUGAUUUCAUCUUGCCUUAAUUUCAUUAUGAACAUAACUAUUUCAAAUUAGCUCCCCGACACCGCCCCCACCCCCCAAUUUUGUUCAGCCUCGCCUGUGAGAUUUUCCAUGGCAUUGGAACUUGAUCCACAGGAGAACUUUGAUCCUCUUCAAGCGGCCCUGGAAACCCAUGUGGGAAAAUAUUAGUCAUGUUGACAGGAGAGAUAGGAGGUUCUCGUGGUGAAACAAGUCCCUCUGCUCAGGAGGCUGCAGUUUAAAGGAUUUCAAGGUGACCUUGGAAGUGGUCACUGACCUUGGAUAAGACCCUUAUAUGCCAGGCUGGUGGAGAACAGGUGGAGGGAGGCCUGAAGACAGCCCUAAACUGAGGGGUCUGGAAACCUGAUCACCGGCCCUGCCCUUGGCUUCAACUAAGUCCGGGUCACAUGUGAGUCACUCUAGCCUUUUCUCUGGGUCUCAGUUUUCUCAUCUAUAAAAGGGACAGAGAAGGGGCAGGGGUUGGUCUUGACGAUUCUCUGAGGUUCCUGCCAUGCAUCAAGUUCUCAGCCUUGCCUGGCCCAGCUGGUUCCUGACAAGCAGUAGCCCUUUCUCCCUUUGCCUUUGGCUGUGCAAGUCAAAAACAGGGCUGUCCGGGAAGUCCAUUACCAAAGAAUACUUCAAAGCUGUUUGCACGCAUUGUCAGUUGCACUGAACAUGAGUUUGUUGAGGGAGAAGGUAAAUAGACAUACAGGCUGAUGACAGGAGGGGUGGAAGGGGGACCACUAUUUACCCCCAGGGUGGCUGGGAGGGGAAAAAAAAAGAAACCCUGCCUGCCGUUUUGACCAAUAAAUAAAAACUGGGAGCUCUGCGUGGCUAAAACCAUAGGGGAUUUAUUAGUUUGCUUAGUGAAAGGCAAAUAUUAAGUCUUAAGUUGACCCGUCCUGGGACCUGCCUUUUGGCUUUUGUAUGCCGUGCGGCACCGAUCACUGGGCCCUCGGGUUAUCGAGUUCUGUUGGAGUUUUUUUUUUUUUUUUAAUUGUUUUCCAUCUCCGUCUUUUCUUCCUCUUUCACCUGCCCCCUUCCCACUAUGUCCCGCCUUUUUCGGUAACUUAGGUCUGGGUUUUGGAGGGGUGAGAAGGGCAAGGGUGAAAAACAUGUUCUGCUUGUAGAACUGUCUAUGCCCAGGGCUCUGGCCAGCCCAGGAAUUGCCGAUGCCCGGGAUGUGGUGGCUCAGGGUAGUGACUCCAGCAGGUGGUCCUCCUGGGUCCCUUCCAUCCUCUCUCCUGGACUAUUAAUGUUAGGUCCCAGGUGUAAGGCAAAGGCCUUGUCCCUCACGAAAAUGAGCAUAAUGACAAGCAUUGGAAAAGAACAGAGCACGCCUAUUUCUAAGUUUUAACUUUCCUAUCCCAUCUGAGUCUUCAUACCCAGCAGAUGAUUUCAGCCUGAAAGAGGAACUGUUCAAGGUGGGGCUGUGUCCAUUAGGGUCUGACCAGGGCUUGUGACUCACCAUGGAGUGAAAUAUCGGGACAAGAGGGGCUGGAUGGCCACCGAGUCUAUUCAGUUUUCAAGUAGGAGAUGCAGUGAAACUAAACUAGAUGGAGCAUUGUUUAUCCUUUGCUUUAAACAUCCACAGUGUAAUCCAGGCUAUUCUAAAACAUUGCAGUUUGUGGGUGCUACGGUCUCAUGGGUGGUGCUUGCUAACAGCCACCCACUGUCAUGUACAGCACAGCAGGACACACUGCUCCAUGCCAGACCCUAAGUGCCCAUUUCCUGGUCCACCCCAGUGACUGUCCAGGAUGCAUCUUUUUUUUUUUUUUCUUUUGAGACAGAGUCUUGCACCGUUGCCCAGGCUGGAGUGCAGUGGCGCAAUCUCGGCUCACUGCAAGCUCUGCCUCCUGGGUUCACGCCAUUCUCCUGCCUCAGCCUCCCGAGUAGCUGGGACUACAGGCACCUGCCACCACACCCGGCUAAUUUUUUGUACUUUUAGUAGAGACGGGGUUUCAUCGUGUUAGCCAGGAUGGUCUUGAUCUCCUGACCUCGUGAUCCACCCACCUCGGCCUCCCAAAGUGCUGGGAUUACAGGCGUGAGCCACUGCGCCAGCCCAGGAUGCAUCUUAUUAAUCUACGUGGGGCACUAUGGCUUCCCAAAUCACUACUCACAUUCUAGAACUGCUUACUUCAGAAAGUUUCUUGCACAUUCCAGUAAUUAUUUUUUUUUUUUUUUGAGAUGGGGGUCUCACUAUGUUGCCCAGGCUGGUCUUGAACUCCUCCACUCAAGCAAUCCUCCCACCUCAGCCUCCCAAAGUGCUGGGAUUACAGGUGUGAGCCACCAUGCUUGGCCCAGUAAUGAUUUUUUAUUGAAUUCAGCACGAUCGUUAAUCCUUUGGCAAUUCUUCACAGAGGAGUAUUUUUUAAAGGAUAGACAUCGGGCAUCCAGGGUACUGAAAUCCUACGAAUGCUUCGAGGCUCAUCUCAAAUGCUUCCUUCUCUCAGAAGCCGUCCUGGAUUUCUCCUUCCCUCUCAACCAGUUGUGACCUCUCCCUCACAUAUUCUGACAUAGGUACUCAAAAAAAUGUCAGUCUUCCUUCCUUGACCAUAGCACUUUAGUAUCUCAUUUACUGCACUUACAAUGGACUUGUUUUGGCACCCUCUUCUCUCCCAACUCUCUUUCUCUCUCUUUUAUAAGAAUAGGGACUGAGUCAUUGUUUACUCAUUGAAAUUUAUCGUUGAAAUGCUCCCAAACGUCCAUGGUCACAUGGGAAGCACUGUGAUGGGCAUUUCAUAUACUUCUCAUUUAAUCAUCGGCAAACAAGACUUUACAGUAAUCAAUUGCUUUGACCAAGUCUUUUAUGUGAACUUUGAGAUUCAAAACCAGGGUCAUGGACAAUCUGAAAUUCAGAGCUUGUGAAGUUGCAGCAUGAUGGCUUUUACAUGGUAGGAUGUACAAAAAUGAUGUUGAGUUGACUUUUCCUAUUACCAACCUGUUAUUGUGUGUACCACCAAAUUUGCCUUUUUUUUUUUUUUUUUGCUUGCUCAGGAGUAAUCAAUAAAGUGUUUUCCACUUUGGGAGGCCAAGACAGGAGGAUCACUUAAGCCCAGGAGUUUCAGACCAGCCCGGGCAACAUAGGGAGACCCCCAUCUCUACAAAAUUAAAAAAACAAAAACAAAAACAAACAUAGCCAAGUGUGGUGGUGCAUGCCUGUAGUCCCAGCUACUUGGGAGGCUGAGGUGAGAGAAUCGGUUGAACCUGGGAGGUCAAGGCUGCAGUGAACUGUGAUUGAGUCACUGCACUCCAGCCUGGGUGACAGAGUAAAACCCUGACUCAAAAAAUCAAUAAAGAAAGAAAGUGUUUUCCAAACAGCAGAGAAAUUUUGUUUGUUGCCUGAUUGGUUGGUUUCCAUGUAGAAACUCUUCCUGAAAAUAGAAUUAUGUCUGAUUUUUGCCAGUUACCCCAUGAGCUAGUUUCAUUUUUAGGGUGGGAAAUAAAAAUAUCAGUUCAAAAGUUUAGAUCAAAAUUUCUAGGGUUUCGUUCACCCUGUCUAAUAAGGAGAACUUAAAAAAAAAAGGAUCUUCCCAUUAAUAUCCAAAUAAUUUCACUCUGUCUAAUAGGGAGAACUACAGAAAAAACAAAAGGGACCUGCCCAUUAAUAUCCAACCUCACAGGUAGAGACCUUCGGUGUUAAUAGGCAGAUCCCUUGCCAUGAGAACUGGACCUAGGUUCAAGGUCUUACCACCUGAGGACCAAAGGCCAAGGGAGAAAAGGCACCACUCAGGGGCAAGCAGGCCCUGGGAGGAAAAGUCUGUCUCCCUUGACUCCUGAUUUCUCCUCCUGGGGGUUUGUGGGGGUGGGGGUGGGGGUGGUGGUAUGGGGGUGUGUGGAGCAGAUAAAGGAGGAUUGAAGAGAACUGACAUGUAGGGCAGAAGCUUUGCCUGUUUGGGAGACGAGAGACACUGAAAGCUCACCCCAUUCUUAAUUCAUACACACCAAUAAAAUAAGAGUUUGGACCAAGAGGUUGUCAUCUGUGAACCACAGUCACUAGGCACGGCUUCAGACAUGAGAGAAAUGAUAUAACAUUCAGCCAAGAAAGAUCAGGCCAUUCAGGAAAUAAUGAAGUUCAGUGGUUUUAUGGGACUUUCCAGUUUUCAAGCUCUUUGUAAAUCUUCUCCUUGGAAUCUCGCAGUGGCUUUGGGAGAAGGAUAGAGACCUUGUUUUGUGGGCUGAGGGAGGUGUACUGACUUGCUGUAGAGACCACCCAUAGGCCCCUGUCCCUAAGGGCAGUGUUGUGGUUCUCUAUGUAUCAGUCACCAAAGGCCGCUGCAACAAAACACCUCCAUAUAUCAGUUCCUUCACUUGACAAGUUUUUCUCAUUUACACAUUAGUUAAAUGUGACUUAGCAAUAGUAGGGACCGGAGGCUCUUUUUCAUGCAGAAAUUCAGGGACCCAGGUUCCCUCUGUUUUAGGAUAUCACUACCUUCAGAGGCAUCCUCUUCUACCAGUGAACACAGAGAAAGUGCUGUGAGAGGACAUGCACCUGUUUGACCAUCUUGGCCUGGAAGAAACACCCAUCGCUUCUGCUCACUUUCCAUUGGCAGGAAUUGAUCCCAAGGCUCCACUUGGAUGCAAGAGAGCUGGGAAAUGUCCAACUCCAUGGAAGGAGGGGGUGGAGAACAGGAGUGCUGGGGAGGACUUGCAGCUCCUGCCAUGCAAACUGAACCCCCUGUGGGGCUACUGAGGUGCAGCUUAUUGGCCUCUGUUGUGGCCAUUGAGGCCCGUGGGUCUGGCCUUCUGGAUGCCCCAUUGUCACAGGCCUGGGUGUGCAGGCUUAGUGCUUUUCUACUACCAGGCUCAGAGAGUUGAGGACUUCUGCCCAGGCUUACUGGCUCUCAAAGGGAAGCAGGAUGGAGUCAUGGUGGAGGACGACAGCUCUGGCCCAGAGUGCCUGGGCCUGAGCUUCUUCACCAGCCCCUAGCCGUGUAACCUUGAGUGAGUGACUAAGCCCCUCUGUGCCUCAGUUUCCUUCCUUUAAACUGCUUCCUUGGGUGAUUGCAAAGUUUGGCCGAGAUAUUACAGGUGCAGCUCCUAGGGCGGAGCCAGGAGCACAGCGCCCAAGCAGUGUGGCGUCGGAGCUCUCUCUAUACUCUGAACAUGGCGCCAUCAGGGCCCGUCUGCCAUAACUCUGCCUCAGAUGAUCUCUAUGCCCAGAUGGGAAGAGGAAACGUCAAAUGUGAACUUCUGCCAUUGCGUCUCUGUUGUCCGGCUGUGGGAAGGUGUCGCUGACUCUUGCUGGCCGUGGCGGUUUUAUUUGGGAUUGGGGACAGAGCUGAGCUGCAGACACUGGCACUCAAUGGUCUCUCCUUCUGGUCACCAUGCACACCACAUCAGUCUCACGUGACUUUAACAUCAGUCAGGCGUUUUCCUAAAGGCCAAGUUCUCUCCAGAAUCUGUCAGUUUCACCUACCGACUGCAGAGACCCUGCAAAACACUCAUGAGACAUAUACAUUGGGUGCAUGAAGCCCUUCCUGUUUCUCCCUCUACUGGGGCAGAGAGAGAGCUGAUUCCAAGCCUCGGGGGAGCUCAGGAGGCAGAGAACCUUCUCCCCGUUUCCACACCUAGAUUUCAAAUCACACCCUUCCCUGCAUACUGCAGAGGCCAGCAAGGCCCCCUUCCAGACCCCCUGGCCUGGGCCUCGGCUCUUGUAAUUGUAGGACCUGAGUGGCCCAGGAUCCUGGCACCAGCUCCGCCUGUUUGGUCUUUGGCUCUCCUGGCACUGCCAGAGAAUGGAAAAGCUGGUCUGUUUACAGGACAUGGGGCCAGAAGCGCAUUAAAAAAUAAGGAGCAAAUAAAAUGUCAUAAACAAAUUUCCUUUCCAGUAAGGAACGUUCCUUUCCCUGUCCUCCAACAGGAACCAUUUUUUCUCCAGUGUUUGGAUAAACUUCCAUCCUGUGUAAUUACCAUUCCCAGGGAGGGGCUGCCUAUUUCCGCUGGCUAUUUAUUUUGAUUUUGAUCAUUCCUCCCUCUUCUGAGUAUAACACACUUAAUAGUAAAGGAAAUAUGUUUCCUAUUGGCGCAUGGGGCACAGCUCUUUCCUUCCCUCCCGUGUCUUCUUCCCACUACCCCUCACCUUCCAACUUCCCAUGAGCCUGUGGACACAGAGCCCCAGGUGCGCUGGCUGGGGGUUGCUCCCCUCCAGCGUGCAGGAGAGUUCGGAGCAUUGGUUGACUGAGAACCAAGGGGCAAAGUGGUGAAGCAGAAGGGAGAAAUUGUUUCCAAUAAAAGGUGGCACAGAUCCAGAGGGGUUGUAUGUGGGUGACCAUCUCUCUGUGGAGGGUCGAGGGGGGCAGUCUUCAGCCUGACCCCCUGUGUGAGUUUUUGUGUGAGCAGAAAGCCACUGAUCUAACGUUUCCUGACCCCAGCAGGUAGCUUAUUGUAAAACAGUUCAUCCAGAGGGGGAAAAAUACCUUGUUUCAGCAUUUAAGUUUUCUUCUUGCUCUGAAACAGACUGGAGAGGAAGGGAAUAGAGAAGAACGGAUAUUUCCUAGCUCAGAAGUGCAUGACAGGAGGCAAAAAACAAAGCCGAAAAACCGUCUUUGAACAAGUGUUAUUCUUGUUUAUGAAUGGAUUGUAUAAUCCAGGAUUCCUGUUUACACACUUUAAGCUAUCUCUCCAGUCCCCUCCUUCCCCUCUUCCCUCUAUUUUCUUUCUGUGUUGGGAUGGCGAAGGAAGGAGGUAUACCCCAUAGUUAAUUUCACUUUCUAAACUCCUUGCCUCUGCCUGGUUGGGUGAACGGAUAUCCUGGAGGUGCUGACCUCAGAGAGGCCAUGAAGAGCAGGGUGGUACUGACUCAUUGACUGGUCAUACAAUCAGUUUGGCUUCAGAUUCCUUAUGCUUUAACUCAGUGGAGGCCCCAGGAAGUGGGGAUGGAGAGGGGGGACUCAUGACUUCCCCUUGAGUCCUCCCACCUCUGCUUGCCUACCUCCUCCCUUCCAGAUUGCCACCCCUCCACCCUUCUUCCAAAGAUGGUCCAGGGCUGUCACAGGGCCAGCUGGCCUAGGCUUGGUACCUGGGUUGAGUUGGUGUCAUGGUGGUAAGAGAAACCACCAGUCACUCUCCCCUUUGGGAGCCCUGUCUUUUGAGGACUGAAGGAUAGGAUGCUUAUUCCAGAGGGUGUGAGAACCUCAUUAAUAAACCUGGCUGGCAUUGGAAUGAUUCUUGAUGUGUGUGUUAAUGGGUGAAAUGCACAGAACCAGGUGUGUGCCAUGGCUGAUUCCAAAAAGCUGCUGCUGGCUCUGCACCUGGUGGGUAUGAGCUUUGGGUAGACUUUUCCAGAAUCAAGGAGGAAUGUCAAGGGACCCACCCCCAGACUGAUGCUCAGGCCCCCUUGAGAGCAACAGGAGACUCUAACUUAAAAAUUAUAACCCAACACUCUAAUCCUGUGAGAGAGAGCUGGUGGUCCUAGUUCUCAGACCUCGGUCUUGGGAAUGCUGCGGUCCAGUUGGGUUAAUUGAGCCAUCCAGUCUCACCAGGCAAGUUAUUGGAGAACUCUGACUGCUGCAGAACUUUAAGUCCUCACCUGGAAUAGGAUCCCCUAGAUGCCUGUAAGGGCAGAUGCAAGGAGAGGAGACCAGAGAAGGCAUCUGGGAUGCCUGGGAGGGAGGAAGGCUCCAGCCCGGGCAAAAUGCUGCAGAAGCAAAAUCCAUUUGUGGUAGCUUUGUGCACUCAGUCAAGGUCGGGUGCUCCCGGGUCAAAAAUGCUUUGAGUAAGAGGCACUGGGGGUGGACCAGCCUCCAUGUGAGACGCUGGGCUCUCCAGGGAGGGGAAGACUUCAUCCGGGCUGCGGCCCCAUGCUCAGUUCCGCUCUAUUUAGAACACUUUUUUUUUUUUUGUAGAAAGCAGAUCGCUGGGGAGGAACGCAUCAGGGCAGCUGAGGGAAGCCGAUUCUACUGCAGCUUUCUGAAUCGUGGGUUGGGGAGAUGGAGAGGGAAAGGAAAGGGCUUUGAGCAAGACAGACCAGGUAGGCUGGUGUCACCUUUCCCUGUCUCUCCACUGCCCAUAACCAUCCCCCACGUCCCCACCAGCUCUGCUCAGCAGCCCAUCUCUGGGGAAAACUUAAAUGGGGCAAGGUAGAAGCAACUGAAACCAUUUUUACUUGUUCAAGGUGAGAUAGGCAACUGAGAUUUUAAAUUCCACAAGUCCACCCAAUAAAAAUCCCCGGCGCAGUGAACACCUGCCGCCAUAGUGUGCAUUGUUGAGUGAGACUCGGGACACAGCAGGUCAGGCUUCCUGGGUGCACAGUGGCAUACGAUUGUCCUGAUUCCUAGACAGCACAGUGGUGUGUGUCAGUGAAGACAGCAUAGGAUGUGGUUGAUGCUUUGCUUACAGGAUUUGGGUAAUCUUUACCCUCCUCCACCAAAGGGAUAGCAUUGCUAAAUACAGAUUAGGUCACUGCAAACUCUGUAAGCCAAGACCGUUGUGGGUGGUCAGAGGAUUUCUGGAAACAGUGUCUUUUACAACUCUUCCCUAUGUUAGCCUUUGUCUUGCAAGAGGAAUUUGAAGUCUGAGGAGUGGCUUCCACUUGCCCUAUGUCAGGCUCACUCUGGAGCUCGUGGGACAGGUGGCUGUGUCUCCUGGACCCCAGUUGGCAUCCUGGAUGUCUCUUCUCCUCCUUAAAAUGCACCAUAGUCAAUGGCCCCUCUGGACAAGGCAACUUUGAGACCAAUGGAAGCAGCCAGAGAGCUGUGUACUUGCACAUUGACGAGCUCUGUUUUUCUGGCCCUCCUAACAAAUAAGAUCCUGGUAGUGUUGGUCCAGGGGCCAGUGGAUGGCUUCCUGCUGGGGUCCUUUUUGUGCACAGCCAUUAGUGACCUGUACAUGCUCAAAUGCAUGAGAUGCCGCAUUGCUUUCCAGCUGGCUGGCUGUCUAGCCCUUCUGAGCCCCUACAGAGAGCCCAUGGAUGCCUUUCCAGCUCAGGAUUAGACCCUUCCUAGAUGCCUUUCUAAUGCUCAGAGGAAGGAGAUGGGAUAGCAUCUCAAUUCCAGCCCCACCUUGUGUUGGUUGUGUGAUUUAAGGCUGUUUACUUCAUAUCUCUGCAUCUCAGCAUCCUCCUAUAUAAUUUGAAGAUUGUAGUAGUACUGACCUCACUGGUUUUCUUUUCUUUUUUUGUGGGAGAGGGAGGUAUGCAUUAAUAUAUGUAGCUCUCAGAGCACAGGACCUGAGUCAUACAUCCAGCUCAUGUGUUAGCUAUUGCUAGUGUUACUAUCUCCCUGAUAAACAUUCCCCUAACCUUCCCCAGGUAGAAGUAAUCACCCUUACUCCUGGGGAAGCACUUCCUACAUAUCUUUUAUAGAAUGGGUCCUGAUAUGGUUUGGUUGUGUCCUCACCCAAAUCUCAUCUUGAAUUGUAGUUCCUGUGGGAGGGACCCGGUGGGAAGUGAUUGCAUCUUGGGGGCGAUUUCCCCCAUGCUGUUCUCAUGCUAGUGAGUGAGUUAUCACAAGAUCUGAUGGUUUUAUAAGCCUAUGGCAUUUCCCCUGCUGGCUCUCAUUCUCUCUCCUGCCACCCUGUGAAGAGGUGCUUUCUGCCAUGAUUGUAAGUUUCCUGAGGCCUCCCCAGCCAUAUGGAACUGUGAGUCAAUUAAACCUGUUUUCUUCAUAAAUUACCCAGUCUCGAGUAUUUCUUCAUAGCAGCAUGAGAACAGACUAAUACAGGUCCCAUGGAAUUCCAAAUAGUGACACAGUUAAGAGUCAAAUUGUAGGGUUAGGCAGGUCUGAGUUUAAUUCUGACUCCUUUGCUCUUGCCCUUGUGAUCUAAGUCUGUUUCUUCACUUAUAAAGUGAAGACAAUGAGAGCAACACCCACUGCCCCAGGUUGUGAGGCCCAGGGCUGUUCUUACUUCUCACUGGCAUUCUGUACCUAGGUCAGAAUCUGAAAGAACAUUUGUUGAACUAUUGAGUUGACUCAGUCAAGUGUUCCUCCCUCCUUCAGUAGACAAAUCCUCCAUUGAAUAAAACCCCAUCAUGUUAUAGCUCACUCCAUGGAGGUUCCUGGCUAGCCUAUCUGGAUUGCGGUGGGCCUUGAAGGCUUUCUUGGCUGGCAAUAAUUGCUUUAAUGACCGACGGCCUUAGUAGACAUCUACAGGUUUCGGCCUCUGUUUUCGUGGUAAGAAGGCUCAGGGCCAGGCAUGGUGGCUCACGCCUGUAAUCCCAGUACUUUGGGAGGCUGAGGCAGGUGGAUCGUCUGAGCUCAGGAGUUCAAGACCAGCCUGGGCAACAUAACAAACCCCAUCUCUACUAAAAAAAUUACAAAAAUUAGCCUGGCCUUGGUGGCACAUGCCUGUAGUCCAAGCUACUUGGGAGGCUGAGGUGGGAGGAUCGCUUGAGUCCGGGAGACUGGGGUUACAGUGAGCUGAGAUUGUUCCAUUGAACUCCAGCCUGGGCAACAGAGUGAGAGUCUGUCUCAAAAAAAAAAAAAAAAAAAAAAAAAGAAAAAAAGAAAAAAAGAGAAGGCUCUUGUAUUUAUUUCUGAUUCUUAUUGGAGUCGUUUAAGGAGGACCAUUGAGAAGACCUCUCCCAUAAAAGCCAAAAUGCCAGCUCUUCUGUGCAAUCCUGUGCGUAUGGUCUUGCUCUCAGUGCAGUCCCAAGCAGAAACCCACUGGACUUGGAAUUGGAAAUCUGAGCUGAGUAUUGGCUUUGUCCAUGUGGUAGACAGAAUAAUGGUCCCCAAAGAUACCCAUGUCCUGCUCCCUGGAAUCCAUGAACAUGUAAUCAAGUUAAGUUUCUUGAGACAGGGAGAUAAUUCUUGGUUAAGCCCAGGGUAAUUUCAACAGUCCCUUUAAGAGAGAGGCAGGAGAGUCAGAGAUUUGUAGAUGCUGUAGUCCUGGCUUUGAAGAUGGUGGAAGGGGCCAUGAGGCCAGGAAUGCAGGUGGCCUUUAGAAAAAGCUGGAAAAGGCAGGGACACGGAUCGUCCUCUAGAGCCUAUGUAAGAGUACAGCCCUGCUGAUGCCUUGAUUUUGACUCACUGAGACCGAUUUUGAAAUUCUAAUCUCCAGAAUUGAAGAUAAUAGGUUUGUCCUGAUUUAAGCUGCUAAGUUUAUGGCCAUUUGUUGCAGCAGUAAGAGGAAACUCAUCCGGACCCAAACAGCUAGCCACUGUAGACUUUCUUUUCACCUCUCUGGUCUUCUGUUCUUCAGUGAUACGAAGAGAGAGGAUGAGGACAACUGCAAAGGGUACAUUCUAGCUGAGUCAUCGUACAAUCAGGGCUGCGGUUUACAUAAUGCCCACAGGUGCCAGGCCAGAUGGGGUGAGUGGGGGUUGAAAUCCAUCCCCAGGGGUUACGAUACUAGACUUGUGGCCUCACACGGGGCUGCAGCUUCCAGGCAGAUAUGGUGUUUCCUGCUGUCUCUCCACUCCCCCUGCAGGAAGGCACCUCUACUCACCCAUCCUGCACCCACAGAGCCAUACAUGCCAAAGGUGGGCAUGGGGGCUCUGGCACAUCCUUUCAUUGUUUUCUCCCCGACUGCCAGGAGUGCAGAGCGGCCAGAGGCCCUGGAGGGGGAAAACAGGCUACAGUGAGAAGUGCCGCAGAAUGACAAAUUCUAGGCCUGCAGUACAGAUGCUGAAUUAGCCUCAAAUUUUGCUUAGGCCAAGCCCUAAGUCAUGGUAAGCCAUCUCUCACUGAGAGGAGCUAUGCCCCAUAUUAUAAACCAGUGGUUCUCAAGUGGGGGUGAUUUUGUCCCCCUACUCCCAUCCAGCGGUUGUUUGCAUGUCUGGAGACAUUUUUGGUUGUCCCAGCUAGGGGCAAGUGUCCUACCGGCAUCUGGUAGGUAAAGGACAGGGAUGCCAUUAAAAAUCCUACAGUGGCCAGGUGUGGCGGCUCAGGCCUGUAAUCCCACGACUUUGGGAGGCUGUGGCAGGUGGAUCACUUGAGCCCAGGAGUUCAAAAUCAGUCUGGGCAACGUGGCGAGACCCCAUCUCCACGAAAAAUACAAAAAAAUUAGCCGGGUGUGGUGGCAUGCACCUGUAGUCCCUGCUACUUGGGAGGUUGAGGUGGGAGGAUGGCUUGAGCCUGGGAGGUUGAGGCUGCAGUGAACUCUGAUCACACCACUGCACUCCAGCCUGGGUGACAGAGUGAGACCCUGUCUCAAAAAAAAAAAAAAAAAGCAACUUAGAAUGCACAAGGCAAGCCCCCACAACUGUCUGGAUCCAGCCUUCAAAGUUGGUAGUGCUAAGGUUGAGAAAUUGUGUCUUAAACCUCUGCUGCAGCAUUGAACCAAGUCCGAACCCUAAUCCCCCCACCUUCUCCCCAACACUUUAUUUACCAAAAGGUAAGGGGGGAUCUGUUAUUUUUUCCAAGUACGUUUCUCCCUGUAUCUUAUCAAUAACCACCAAGUUCAGCACACCCUUGAUUAGUCACUUCCAUUAACAGUGUUUAUUUUGGGGUUUGUGUUUAUUUUUGAAACGUGGUCUCCUUUUUCCUCCUCACUUCCUUACACACUUAGGGGGAUGGGGCCAGCUUUCUAGUAUAAUCUAGUUCACACUUUCCUUGCUCAUCUAUAAACUGACUAGGCCAACCCUUGAGAACAUCUCUUCUCCUUCCUUUCCUUCAUAGGAAGCUGUCCACAGCUCUGAAGCAGACCAUUGUCAUCUUCUUCCUUAUGCUUUAAAAUCCUUUUUAGGAUUUUAAAAUAUCCUAAAUAAUAUAGCAGCAACUCCGUUGACCAACUGACUCGUGACAAAGCAGCGACUUUAUUCCUAGCUUUCCACGUUCCAUGAAACAAAGACAUUUCAGUGGUUCUCGCCACUGAACCAGAGACAAGGAGAUUUUUGGACUUGUGGGUCUCCCUCUCCCACUUCUCUCCACCCCUCCCCUUCUCACUGCAGGAGUGAGAACUGCAGAGUCUCGGAACUACAUUUAAGCGUUUCUGACUCAUCAAAUAACUGAUCCCUGUUCCUCUCCACCCACCAAAUGGUUCUUAGCUCUCCCUCCCUGGCCAGAGGAAUUUAAAGGCUUAUGGUUGAGUAACUGGGAGUUACAGAGAAUCUCCGCGCAUGUUUCAAAGAUUUUCAUCUUUCUUUCUUUUUUUUUUUUUUUUUUUUGAGACAGACUCUCACUCUGUCACCCAGGCUGGAGUGCAGUGGUGCGAUCUCGGCUCAAUGCAACCUCUGCCUCCCAGGCUCAAGUGAUUCUCCUGCCUCAGCCCCCUGAGUAGCUGGGAUUACGGAUGCCGACCACCAUGCCUGGCUAAUUUUUGUAUUUUUGGUAGAGACAGGGUUUCACCGUGUUGGCCAGGCUGGUCUCAAACUCCUGACCUCAAGUGAUCCACCUGCCUCUGCCUUCCAAAGUGCUGGGAUUACAGGCAUGAGCCACCAUGCUGGGCCAGAUCUUCAUCUUUGAUUGGACACCAUCCAUCCCUCUGCCUCCUCUUUCCUGAAUUCCAGUGACGGCAAACUCUCCCCUCACCUAUGCUGUCCCUCUAUGUGGCCCUGUGCAUAGCAGUGGCCCAAGGAUGCUCUGUGGCAGGCCAGUGGCAUAGGAGGCCCAGGAGUCCCCCUCCCCCCAUCCUCCUUCCUGGGCCAUUUAUUUGAGUACCACCAGGGAGUGGGUUACUUUGGGGUAUUUAUUUGUUUAAACAUGGGUGGCUCCUGAAAGGAGGGUGUCGGGUUUCAAGGUUAGAGGCCCCAUGCAAACAGAGAGUGGGUGGCCUGCAAAAUAGUGAGCAAGGUUGGAAGUGAGGAGCCCAUGUGUCUUUUCAUGUUUGUAGGUGGAAAUGCUGAUGUAUGACACUAUUUGUGACCCAGCUGUCUCUAUCUAUGACAUAGAGCGACUUGGGGCUUGUGUGUGUUCAGACUCUGAGACAGCCCUCUCCUAGACUGUUGGAAGAGAGCAUUUGGAAGUGGUUAGGCAAUUCUUUAGGGGCAGUAACUCCUAUUAAUUUAUCCCAUGAGCGUUGGCGGCUAUCCAAGUACCUUGGGGAGGAGCAGAAGAAUACAGACUGAAUUGGUACUAACUGCAGCCCCACCUCAGGGAUUCUGGAAGAGUCCUAAAAAGCUGGGUGCAGGCUGGGCACAAUGGCUCACUCCUGUAAUUCCAGCACUUUGGGAGGUCAAGGAGGGAGGAUUGCUUGACGCCAGGAGUUUGAGACCAGCCUGGGCAACAUAGUGAGACCCCAUCUCUAAAAAAAUAAUUAGUUGGGCAUGGUGGUCUGCACCUGUAGGCCCAGCUACUCAGGAGGCUGAGGCUUCAGUGAGUCAUGAUUGCAUCACUGCACUCCAGCCUGGGAGACAGAGCAAGAACUUGUCUCAAAAAAAAAAAAAAAAAAAAAAAUCUGGGUGCAGUAGUGGAAUGGUCAGCCUCUUUCUCAAAAGAUCUUGAAUUGUUGAUCACAAUGAGUGAUCCUGCCUUGUGUCCUAGGGCCAGCCUCCUUUUUGGGUUGACCUAGCCAGAAAAAUAUCUCUUAUUAGAGUUCACAUCAGCCCUGACAGGGCUUGGAUUUUUGUAUUAGACAGGUGCUUGUCAAAAGAAAACCCAAGACGGAGGGAAAGCCAGAUGUGUAGGUGAAAUUGCUGCACCCUGACCGAUGAUAUGCCAAAAUUCAGAAGCAAAGAUGAUAUAGCAUCCUGUCUCUCAGGCCCCUUUAAGGCUGUUGGCUGCAGAAUUGAUAACUACAGUGGGAGACUCAGCUUAGUCUCUACAAAGGGAACAUGGAAAGACUGUAGAGUGUUUUGCCUGGAGAUAUUUCUUUGGAGGAAAAACACCAGGGAAGGUUUAGGAGACAUGGCUAAAGACACUUAAUGCCAUUGUUAACUAAAUACUAAGAGAUAGAAUACAGACAGUGGUGAGUGACUGUUCUCUAAUGUCUUAGCUACUGUCCCCUCAGGACAGAGAGAUUGUCACUAGAUUAAUAACUCCUGAAUGCCCAAGGUAGGAUGUUGGGUUCACAGCCCAGGAAUCAAUUACAGACCUUGUUAAAAAUUAAUGAUGUGCACACUGAAGUGUUUAGAGAUGAAGUGUCCUAAUGCCUGCAAUUUACUUUGACAUGCGUUGAAAAAAUGAGUUGGAUUGAUGGAUAGAUAAACGGAGGAUAAACGCAUAGAUUUGUGAUAAAGUACAUGUAGCAAAAUCUUGACAAUCACAGGAUCUGGGUGGUAAGUAUGUGGGUACAACAUUUCUGUAUGUCUGAAAUUUUUCAAAUAAAACGUUGGGGAAAAGUACCAAUCCCUGGGCUACCCAACAAUGAUUUUGAUUCAGUGAGUUGGUGAUGAAGUCUAGAAAUUAUUUUAUUUUACUUUUUCUUUUGUCUUAUUUUUUGAGAUAGCAUCUUGCUCUGUUGCCCAGGCUGGAGUGCAGUGGCGUGAUCAUGGCUCACUGCAGCCUCAACUUCUUGGCCUCUAGCGAUCCUCCCACCUCAGCCUCCUCAGUAGCUGGGACUACAGGCAGGUGCCACUACACCUGGCUAAUUAAAUUUUUUUUUUUUUUUUUUACAGACCAGAUUUCGCCAUAUUGCUCAGGAUGGUCUUGAACUCCUGGGCUCAAGUGAUCCGCCUGCCUUGGCCUCCCAGAAUGCCAGGAUUACAGAUGUGAGCCACUGUGCCUGGCCUGAAGUCUAGUAAUUUUUAAAACUUUGCAUGUUAUUCUGCUCAUGAGCCAAGUUCGGGUGCCUGUGGAACAGCUAUAUUCCUCAAACUAGAUAUGCACCCCAGUCCCUGGGGAUUCUGUCAAAAGGCAGAUUCACAUUCAGCAGGUCUAGGGUGGGGGGCCUGACAUUCGGCACGUCUCACAAGCUCCCAGGCGAUGCUGAUGGUGCUGGUCCCUGGACGCCCUCUUGAGUAGUAAGGAACAAAAGGACUCUCCCCUGUUCUUUUCAGCUACGUAGCCCAGUGGUUCUCCACUUAGGCUUCACACUGGAAUCAUCCAGGGAGUUUUAAACUAUAGUGAUGCCUGGCGGUGUCUUACUCGCAGAGCUUCUGGUUUGAUUGGUCUAGGUUGCAGCCUGGGCAAGGAGAUUUAAAAACUUCUCAGAUGGGCCAGGCAUGGUGGCUCAAGCCUGUAAUCCCAGCACUUUGGGAGGCAGAGGUGGGCGGAUCACGAGGUCAGGAGAUCGAGACCAUCCUGGCUAGCACGGCGAAACCCUGUCUCUACUAAAAAUACAAAAAAUUAGCUGGGUGUGGUGGCGUGUGCCUGUGGUCCCAGCUGCUCGGGAGGCUGAGGCAGAAGAAUGGCCUGAACCCGGGAGGCGGAGCUUGCAGACAGCCGAUCGUGCCACUGCACUCCAGCCUGGGCGACAGAGCGAGACUCCGUCUCAAAAAAAAAAAAAAAAAAAGGUUCUCAGAUGAUUCUAAUAUGCAACCACUGACUUAAUAGCAUGCAGUGAAUCUGUGGAAUAUUAAAUUGUAGGAAAUAAAUUUUUGCACAGAAAGACACUGCCAGCCCUCAUUACUCAGGUGUGCAGGAGCUUUCCAGUAACAAUAGCAGUAACUAACAGUGAAAGGCUCAAAAUUACCUCCCCUCAAUUCUACUUAAUUCUCCUCAUAAUGAGAAUGAUUAACAGCCAGCAUUUAUUGAGUGUCAAGCACUUUACAUUCAUUAGAUCAUUUAAUCAUCACAGUAACCUGGUGAGGCAGGCAUUAUUAUCCUAUUUUACAGAUGAGGAAAUUGAGCUUGAUUGAGUUAAGUGACUUGCCCAAGAUGACAGCAGUAAUAAGUCUUGGACAGAGAUUGGAACUGGGUUUGCCUGACUUCAAAGCCCAUAUCCUUGAACCAUUAUAUCAUUCUGUUGUCUUCAUGAUCUACGCCAGGGGUUGGUAAAAUAUAGCCCAUAAGCCAAAUCUGAACAGCUGUCUGUUUUUAUAAAUAAAGUUUCGUGGGAACACAGCUAUAACCAUUGAUUUAUGUAUGGUCUGUGGCUCCGUUCAUGCAACGGGCAGAGCUGCAUAGUGGCAACAGAGAUGGUCCACAGCGCCUGAAAUAUUUACUCUCUGGUCCUUUACAGAAACAGCUUGAUGGAUUGCUGAGGCAGAGUGCACCGAGCAAGGGUUCAGUCCUCCAUAGAGCUCAGAGCAAAAGGAAUGACCCAGCCGGGAUGAACUUGAACCUAUGGCCACCUAGCUCUGGUUUCUGCUUGGACAUUUUAUUUCAAUCUUAUGGCCUGCCUUGCGCUCCAAGGGUUACUUAUUUCCUCUGCACAUAUUUUAUUUUGAUGCCAAAAUUUCAGAUCUGUUUUCUUAAGAGCAGAAGGUCUUGACCUCAAAGCCCGGGCCAUCACACAGCUCUCUGUGGAGUGGGGUGAGGGAGGCCAGCUGCCGGUCACCUUCUGCUCCAGCACCGUGGGAGGCCUGAGUGGCAAAGCUCCAGCCCCGCUGCUCCCGGGCGGUGUCCGCAACAAGAGGCUUCCGCCCCAUCCCACCAGCCAUCCACGGAGACGCC